GCGUGCCGGGCACCGAUUGUGCCAAAAAGGGCUGUACGCGGCUUUGGACCAAAUCCUGAUUGGGUCCCGCGCGGCGAAAACUCCCGAACCGUGUCAGGUCCUGACGGAAGCAGCACUAAGGGAGACCUUUCGGGCGACGCGGGGGUGCCUGAUCGGGGUUUGGUUCAAGGCCGCGUUUCGUGUGCGC
rnacentral:misc_RNA from 1 species